GAGAAAACUCUUAUGAUGUAACGAAUACUUGUAAACAAAUUACACCAAAUAGAACACUAAUAUAUCAGGAAGUAAAGAAAAUUGAUGACAGAAAUGUAGGUUUGAUGUGCAAUAUAUAAACAAUUUAAACUAUGAUAGACCGCCAAAUCAUUUAAGUAUAGCAUCAAUUGUUUAGCAUGAAAACAUCAUCUUAAUAAUCAAGUAUCAAACGUUCUUUCAAAUGCUUGAACAAUCAUGGCAUUCAAAUAUAGCACUUACUUAUCCCAAUUCGAUGAAUUAACACAAAAAUGUCAAUGAAAUGAUACCACUACCGUAGUCCAACUAAAACACUACAUAACUAGAAAAAAAA
rnacentral:misc_RNA from 1 species